rnacentral:rRNA from 1 species
GAUGAACGCUGGCGGCGUGCCUAAUACAUGCAAGUCGAGCGAACGGACGAGAAGCUUGCUUUUCUGAUGUUAGCGGCGGACGUGUGAGUAACACGUGGAUAACCUACCUAUAAGACUGGGAUAACUUCGGGAAACCGGAGCUAAUACCGGAUAAUAUUUUGAACCGCAUGGUUCAAAAGUGAAAGACGGUCUUGCUGUCACUUAUAGAUGGAUCCGGGCUGCAUUAGCUAGUUGGUAAGGUAACGGCUUACCAAGGCAACGAUGCAUAGCCGACCUGAGAGGGGGAUCGGCCACACUGGAACUGAGACGCGGUCCAGACUCCUACGGGAGGCAGCAGUAGCGAAUCUUCCGCAAUGGGCGAAAGCCUGACGGAGCAACGCAGCGUGAGUGAUGAAGGUCCUCGGAUCGUAAAACUCUGUUAUGAGUGAAGAACAUAUGUGUAAGUAACUGUGCACAUCUUGACGGUACCUAAUCAGAAAGCCACGGCUAACUACGUG